rnacentral:rRNA from 1 species
GUAGGUGGCAAGCGUUGUCCGGAAUUAUUGGGCGUAAAGCGCGCGCAGGCGGUUCUUUAAGUCUGAUGUGAAAGCCCACGGCUCAACCGUGGAGGGUCAUUGGAAACUGGAGAACUUGAGGACAGAAGAGGAAAGCGGAAUUCCACGUGUAGCGGUGAAAUGCGUAGAGAUGUGGAGGAACACCAGUGGCGAAGGCGGCUUUCUGGUCUGUAACUGACGCUGAGGCGCGAAAGCGUGGGGAGCAAACAGGAUUAGAUACCCUGGUAGUCCACGCCGUAAACGAUGAGUGCUAAGUGUUAGGGGGGUUUCCGCCCCCCUUAGUGCUGCAGCUAACGCAUUAAGCACUCCGCCUGGGAGUACGGCCGCAAGGCUG